rnacentral:rRNA from 1 species
GUGCUAAUCUGCGAUAAGCGCCGGUAAGGUGAUAUGAACCGUUAUAACCGGCGAUACCCGAAUGGGGAAACCCAGUGUGACUCGUCACACUAUCAUUAACUGAAUCCAUAGGUUAAUGAGGCGAACCGGGGGAACUGAAACAUCUAAGUACCCCGAGGAAAAGAAAUCAACCGAGAUUCCCCCAGUAGCGGCGAGCGAACGGGGAGGAGCCCAGAGCCUGAAUCAGCAUGUGUGUUAGUGGAAGCGUCUGGAAAGGCGCGCGAUACAGGGUGACAGCCCCGUACACAAAAGCGCAUGUGCUGUGAGCUCGAUGAGUAGGGCGGGACACGUGGUAUCCUGUCUGAAUAUGGGGGGACCAUCCUCCAAGGCUAAAUACUCCUGACUGACCGAUAGUGAACCAGUACCGUGAGGGAAAGGCGAAAAGAACCCCGGCGAGGGGAGUGAAAAAGAACCUGAAACCGUGUACGUACAAGCAGUGGGAGCACCCUUUGGGUGUGACUGCGUACCUUUUGUAUAAUGGGUCAGCGACUUAUAUUCUGUAGCAAGGUUAACCGAAUAGGGGAGCCGGAGGGAAACCGAGU